rnacentral:rRNA from 1 species
CCCUUAGAGUUUGAUCCUGGCUCAGAACGAACGCUGGCGGCGUGCUUAACACAUGCAAGUCGAACGUGAUUGAGAGCUUGCUCUCAUGAAAGUGGCGCACGGGUGAGUAACACGUGGAUAAUCUGCCUGGCAAUUCGGGAUAACACUUCGAAAGGGGUGCUAAUACCGGAUAAGCCCACGGUCUCUUCGGAGAGCGCGGGAAAAGGGGGCCUCUGUAUAUGCUCCUGUCGCUAGAUGAGUCCGCGGCCCAUUAGCUAGUUGGUAGGGUAAUGGCCUACCAAGGCUACSAUGGGUAGCUGGUCUGAGAGGAUGAUCAGCCACACUGGAACUGAGACACGGUCCAGACUCCUACGGGAGGCAGCAGUGGGGAAUUUUGCGCAAUGGGGGAAACCCUGACGCA